UCGUAAACAAACCCUGGUUCAGUUCGGACGCAGCGAACACCCGAAGACCCUCUUCACCCCCACCAUCAGUGUAACACACUUCGGCUUCUUACUUCGUCGAGACCGCCGGCACAGGAAAAUGUAGGCGAGCGGGCACCAGGUGCGGAGCGCGACAGUUUACCUGCACCCUACGGGGUCGGUGCUUGAACAAUCCGUACGCGACGAUAACACAGGCGUGAUUAGAAUUUGAAAAAUUCCUUCACACUUUGAACAAAUAUGAGAAGAGAUCCUCGAAAUAUAGUUUAGAGCAGACUCGUAAUUUGAUCCAAAAUCGCCCCGGCAACCACAUCCGCCUCCUCUAGUGCUGCACACUGAGGCGCAAUCAUCGGGAACGUCCGGAA